UGAUAUGGUUAAACAAAGCACUGUGAUCUCGUUCACAGAUACAACAGCUGCAGUUUCUAAUGAAGCCUUAUCUCAACGAGGGUUGGAUUUACACCUUACUGAUGCUACUUAACAAACUUUCGAAGCUGCUCAACAUCCUCCAAAUAACUGCUCAUCGAUGUCCAACAGAAAAUCAACUCCAAAAUACAAAAACAAAAUGCACAUUGCAGAUAAGAGUCCAUCUACACAUACUUUUUCAAACUCAUUUGCUGCACUCUCCAAUGUCAAUAUUGACGAUGGAAUUAGAACUGGAGAGAACUUGCAGAUGGCCAAGAAUCAGAUCUCUCCAACCAUUACGAUGAGGGACAUGGUCAUUAAAUCAAAACUGUGGAAAGACCAACGAGAUUACGACGAUGACGAGGGCUGGGGAGAAGGGCUUGCUGGUUAUUCAUCUUCAGUAGACGACGAAGAGUUUGAUGACGACAGUGCAGGAGAGGACAUUGAUGUUCAGUUCAAGCUACAAGUUCAAAGGAAAUCAACAACUAUCAAUUGUCCUGCAAAUCUGCAACCUGUAGAAAACACAAACAGCAACUUGAACCAUAAUGCUCCAGUAUUUGUUCCAAGAAAUACUACAAAAUCAGGUGAAACAUCAAAUGCUGUUCGAAAAGCAACAACACUGCCAACAUCUGCCCAAAAUCAGAUUGUACCAAUAAAGUCCAUCACUACUUUGGAGGAGAGGAAAAUGUUGCAUGCUAUGACUAAAUUUCCUUCUGUCGAUAACAAAACAGUACCAUUUACACAGUCAGGACAGAACUAGCUCAUAUCAACAGCCCCAGAAAACACUCUACUGGACAAACAACCUCUGGAUGCGAGGACAAGAAGACAUACAUAUGAAGAAGGGGAGGAAGACGAUAUUUUAACGCAAUGCCGCGCAGAUGCGUCAAGAAAAGGUGAUUUUUCACCAAUGCAUAGUAAAACAAGUAAGAAGUCUCGUGAAAGGGAUAGAAGUUGGGACAGCAGGGUGUUUGAAGACGCAAACAUAAGGAGACCCCCAAUGAGAAAUGCAAAACAAAAAUAGAGCACUCAAACAAUUAUUACAAAGUCCAAUCGAUCGAGGAACAAAGCAUGAAUUUUGAAGCAAUAUUGACAAAAAUUGGGGACGAAGUCAUUAAUCUACAAAUUAUAUUUUUCACAAAAUUGGAGAAAAGAGAGCAACAACAUGACUUCUUCAACUUUUUAAUUUUCCAUCUCAUUAGUAUUUCUCUAUGUAAUAUCAUCACAAAGCAUGUUAUAAACUCUGUGAUGAUCAUGCUUUUCCAGUUCUCUAUGUAAUAUCAUAACAUAGCAUGUUAUAAACUCUGCGAUGAUCAUACUUUUCUUAGUUCUUGCUACCUCUUUCUUUUUGCAUGCUUGUUAGUUCUUGAGGCUUUUAUUGGCCUCAAUAGGAUUAAUAAGGUUUUUAUUUUUCCAUCUUAUUAGUAUUAUUCUAUGUAAUAUCAUCACAGAGCAUGUUAUAAACUUUGUGAUGAUCAUACUUUUCUUAGUUCUUGCUACUUCUUUCUUUUUACAUGCUUGUUAGAUCUUGAGGCUUUUAUUGGCCUCAAUAGGAAUAAUAAGGUAAGGUUUACGCCGGUAGUUGUUAUAUGGGUAGCAAUAACGGUGAGUCCUCCCUUAUUUUAUUUUUCCUAUUUGAUGUAAUUUUCUUUUUAUUAUUGUUAAUGAAAACUAGCCCUAGGCGCUUGCCUAGUGGAUUGUUCAAAAAAAAGAAGAAAAAUCAGUAGCAAACUGAAAUCAAACAAAAAAAUUAAAAAUAGGAACCAAACUACAUGAUCGGAACCCUAAAUCAAAAAUAAAACUAUAAUAAUAACAAAAAAAUAGAAGAGCAAUCAAGAACAAAAGAAAUCAGAAAAGAAAGAAAACAGGAAAAAAUACCUCGCAAUUUUUUACUCAGACUCGAAUCUGGC
rnacentral:lncRNA from 1 species